rnacentral:rRNA from 1 species
UACGUAGGGGGCAAGCGUUGUCCGGAAUUAUUGGGCGUAAAGAGCGUGUAGGCGGUCCGGUAAGUCAGCCGUGAAAGUCAAGGGCUCAACCCUUGAAUGCCGGUUGAUACUGUCGGGCUAGAGUCCGGAAGAGGCGAGUGGAAUUCCCGGUGUAGCGGUGAAAUGCGCAGAUAUCGGGAGGAACACCAAUGGCGAAGGCAGCUCGCUGGGACGGUACUGACGCUGAGACGCGAAAGCGUGGGGAGCAAACAGG